rnacentral:rRNA from 1 species
UGCCAGCCGCCGCGGUAAUACGUAGGGGACGAGCGUUAUCCGGAUUUAUUGGGCGUAAAGGGUAUGUAGGCGGCCGAAUAAGUCAGGUGUUAAAGGCAAUGGCUCAACCAUUGAAUGCAUCUGAAACUGUUUGGCUUGAGUACGGGAGAGGAAAGUGGAAUUCCUAGUGUAGCGGUGAAAUGCGUAGAUAUUAGGAGGAACACCAGUGGCGAAGGCGACUUUCUGGACCGAUACUGACGCUGAGAUACGAAAGUGUGGGGAGCAAACAGGAUUAGAUA